UGGGGGAUAUUGCACAAUGGGCGAAAGCCUGAUGCAGCGACGCCGCGUGGGGGAUGAAGGCCUUCGGGUUGUAAACUUCUUUUGCUCUGAACAAGGCAUGCUAAUGGGUGUGUUGAGUGUAGGGGUUGAUUAGCGCCGGCUAACUACGUGCCAGCAGCCGCGGUAAUACGUAGGGCGCGAGCGUUGUCCGGAAUUAUUGGGCGUAAAGGGCUUGUAGGUGGCUGGUUGCGUCUGUCGUGAAAGCUCAUGGCUUAACUGUGGGUUUGCGGUGGGUACGGGCUGGCUUGAGUGCAGUAGGGGAGGCUGUAAUUCCUGGUGUAGCGGUGGAAUGCGCAGAUAUCAGGAGGAAUACCGGUGGCGAAGGCGGGUCUCUGGGCUGUUACUGACACUGAGGAGCGAAAGCAUGGGGAGCGAACAGG
rnacentral:rRNA from 1 species